GACGAAUGCUGGCGGCGUGCUUAACACAUGCAAGUCGAACGGAAAGGCCCUGCUUGCAGGGUACUCGAGUGGCGAACGGGUGAGUAACACGUGGGUGAUCUGCCCUGCACUUCGGGAUAAGCCUGGGAAACUGGGUCUAAUACCGGAUAGGAGCCAUUUUUAGUGCGAUGGUUGGAAAGUUUUUUCGGUGUAGGAUGAGCUCGCGGCCUAUCAGCUUGUUGGUGGGGUAAUGGCCUACCAAGGCGGCGACGGGUAGCCGGCCUGAGAGGGUGGACGGCCACAUUGGGACUGAGAUACGGCCCAGACCCCUACGGGAGGCAGCAGUGGGGAAUAUUGCACAAUGGGCGCAAGCCUGAUGCAGCGACGCCGCGUGGGGGAUGACGGCCUUCGGGUUGUAAACUCCUUUCGCUAGGGACGAAGCUUUUGUGACGGUACCUAGAUAAGAAGCACCGGCUAACUACGUG
rnacentral:rRNA from 1 species